rnacentral:rRNA from 1 species
CAGCCGCCGCGGUAAUACGUAGGGGGCGAGCGUUGUCCGGACUUAUUGGGCGUAAAGCGCGCGCAGGCGGUCCCUUAAGUCUGAUGUGAAAGCCCACGGCUCAACCGUGGAGGGUCAUUGGAAACUGGGGGACUUGAGUGCAGAAGAGGAGAGCGGAAUUCCACGUGUAGCGGUGAAAUGCGUAGGGAUGUGGAGGAACACCAGUGGCGAAGGCGGCUCUCUGGUCUGUAACUGACGCUGAGGCGCGAAAGCGUGGGGAGCAAACAGGAUUAGAUACCCUGGUAGUCCACGCCGUAAACGAUGAGUGCUAAGUGUUAGAGGGGUUAAACCCUUUAGUGCUGUAGCUAACGCGUUAAGCACUCCGCCUGGGGAGUACGGCCGCAAGGCUGAAACUUAAAGGAAUUGGCGGG